rnacentral:tRNA from 1 species
GCAGCCCUAGCUCAGUUGGUAGAGCACGUGACUGAAAAUCACGGGGUCCCCAGUUCAAUUCUGGGGGGCUGCA